UAAACGCUGGCGGCGCACAUAAGACAUGCAAGUUGAACGGACUUAAUCGAAAUAUUUAUAUUUUGAAGCGGUUAGUGGCGGACUGGUGAGUAACGCGUAAGGAACCUGCCUAUUAGAGGGGAAUAACAGUGAGAAAUCAUUGCUAAUACCGCAUAUGCCAUAGAUAUCACAUGAUAACAGUGGGAAAGGAGCAAUCCGCUAAUAGAUGGCCUUGCGUCUGAUUAGAUAGUUGGUGGGGUAACGGCCUACCAAGUCGACGAUCAGUAGCCGGACUGAGAGGUUGAACGGCCACAUUGGGACUGAGAUACGGCCCAGACUCCUACGGGAGGCAGCAGUCGGGAAUAUUGCGCAAUGGAGGAAACUCUGACGCAGUGACGCCGCGUAUAGGAAGAAGGUUUUCGGAUUGUAAACUAUUGUCGUUAGGGAAGAGAAAGGACAGUACCUAAGGAGGAAGCUCCGGCUAACUACGUG
rnacentral:rRNA from 1 species